rnacentral:rRNA from 1 species
CUACGGGGUGCUGCAGUGGGGAAUAUUGGACAAUGGGGGAAACCCUGAUCCAGCAAUGCCGCGUGUGUGAAGAAGGCCUGCGGGUUGUAAAGCACUUUCGGUUGGGAGGACUGCUUCUAGCACUAAUAUUGUUGGAAGUUGACGUUACCUUCAGAAGAAGCACCGGCUAACUCCGUGCCAGCAGCCGCGGUAAUACGGGGGGUGCAAGCGUUAAUCGGAAUUACUGGGCGUAAAGCGCGCGUAGGCGGCUAGAUCAGUCGGGUGUGAAAGCCCCGGGCUUAACCGGGGAACUGCAUCCGAUACUGUCUAGCUUGAGUACAGGAGAGGAGAGUGGAAUUCCACAUGUAGCGGUGAAAUGCGUAGAUAUGUGGAGGAACACCAAUGGCGAAGGCAGCUCUCUGGCCUGAUACUGACGCUGAGGUGCGAAAGCGUGGGGAGCAAACAGGAUUAGAUACCCCUGUAGUC